GCUGCCUUCAGCAGCACAUAUAUUAAAUUUGGAAUGAUGCAGAGAAAAUUAGCAUGGCCUUUGCACAAGUAUGGCAUCCAAAUUCAUUAAACACUCCAUAGUUUU